rnacentral:misc_RNA from 1 species
CCACUAGACAAGCUAGCGAGGAAUUCAAUCAAUAUACAUGAUAGCUAUGGUUUCAAACCAUUUACAAUGCUCUUCAAUCAAUAAGUAUCCAUCAAAUAUCAUUUAAACAAUUUCUCAUAGUUUCAAACCAUUUACAAUGCUUUUCAAGCAAUAAGUAUCCAUCAAAUUUUCAUUCAAACAAAUUUUCACAAUUCAAAAUAAUAAUAUACAAAAUUCUCAUAAUUUAUUUUAAUUGAAAAG